rnacentral:rRNA from 1 species
ACAUGCCUACAUCAUAGUGUUAAUGCAUCGUAUCCCAUUCAAACUUUGCAGUUAAGUGCGCUUAGGCUAGAGUAGUAUUGGGAUGGGUGACCGCCUAGGAAGUCCUAGUGUUUUACAUGCC